CAUGCCCUGCAGCGGGGGUCCCCACACCCCUAUCCAUGGCCUGUUAUGGACUGGACUGCACAGCAGGAGGUGACUGGCUGGCAAGUGGCAAGUGAGCAAAGCUUCAUUUGUAUUUACAGCCACUGCCCAUCACUCACAGUACCACCUGAGCUUCGCCUCCUGUCAGAUAAGUGGCGGCAUUACAUUCUCAUAGGAGCACGAGCCCUGUUGUGAACUGCACAUGCAAGGGAUCUAGGUUAUGUGCUCUUUAUGAGAAUCUAAUGCCUGAUGAUCUGUCACUGUUUCUCAUUACCCCCAGAUGGGACUGUCUAGUUGCAGGGUGGCAGGGAAAAGAGUUCAGGGCUCCCACUGAUUCUACAUUAUUGUGAGUUGUGUAAUUAUUUCAUUAUAUAUUAUAGUGCAAUAAUAGAAAUAAAGUACACAAUAAAUGUAAUAUGCUUGAAUCAUCCUGAAACCAUCUGCUCCAUCACUCCAGUCCGUGGAAAAAUUGUCUUCCAUGUAACUGGCCUCUGGUGCCAAAAAGGUUGGGACCAUGUCUCCGUAGUCUAUGGCUUCCUCUGCCAUUGUAAAUCAGUUCCUGUUUCUCUACUUGCUUUUAGUCAUUAAAAAUUUUGGUUAAAAUCUUCAAAUCUACAAAAAUGUAGAUAUCCUUUUCC
rnacentral:lncRNA from 10 species